GACGAAGGAUGCAAGCGUUAUCCGGAUUCAUUGGGUUUAAAGGGAGCGUAGGCGGCCUUGUAAGUCAGUGGUGAAAUCUCUCGGCUUAACUGAGAAAUUGCCAUUGAUACUGCAGGGCUUGAGUACAGAUGCCGUUGGCGGAAUAUGACAUGUAGUGGUGAAAUACAUAGAGAUGUCAUAGAACACCGAUUGCGAAGGCAGCUGACGAAACUGUAACUGACACUGAGGCUCGAAAGUGUGGGGAUCAAACAGG
rnacentral:rRNA from 1 species